AAUAUUAUUUACUAAUUAGUACAUGCUUUGGAUUAUUAAUAUGUUGUUCAUGAAUUGUUUUAUGGUAUAUUAUUGUUUAAGAUGCUUAUUUCGACUUAUAUUCGUAAUGUUAUUACUAUCCAUGAAGUAUACCUGAAUAUAUAUAUAUAUGUAUAUAUAUUGUUUCUAUAUAUAUUUGCUAUGAAAAGUAGAUUGUAGUAUUAUGUUAUACGGAUGAAUAUAGACCUCCUGCGGAACUGGAAACCAAAACAGAUCGGUAACACGCCUAUAUUGCAUCCUCAGAGGUGGUGAGGAGAAACAAUAAAUACGCAAUACAUGUUCACAAACAAGCUGUUAAACCAUGGAGAAAGCUCACGAGCUUGUGGUUUUCUUGGCAGCAUUGAAAAUUCAUUAC